UGGUUUCUAAGCAAUUAAAAUGGUAAUUGGGGUGGCUCUGAAAUUAGGUAGGCAGAAAAUGCCUGUCUGAGAAGGUGACAUUUAAGCUGCUGUCUGAAGAACAAGAAAGAGCCAGCCCUGGUGGGAGCAAAACCAGUACCUGGCUCGGAGCAGCAGCCACUGAGGUACCCCUCCCAGCGUCCUUCCACCUGUCCACAAGCAUGGGGAACAUAACAUCUUUGCCAACCUCUUCAAGGGCCUUUUUGACAGAAAAGAAAUGUGCAUCCUCAUGGUGGGCCUGGAUGCUGCAGGGAAGACCACAGUCCAGUACAAGCUUAAGCUGGGGGAAAUGGUGACCACCAUUCCCACCAUAGGCUUCAACGUAGAAACCAUGGAGUACAAGAAUAUUAGCUUCACUGUGUGGGGCGUGGGCGGCCCGGACAAGAUCCGGCCUCUGUGGCGCCACUACUUCCAGAAGACACAGGCCUGAUUUUCGUAGUGGACAGCACUGACAGAGGGCGUAUGAUUGAGGCCUGGGAGGAGUUCAUGAGGAUGCUGGCCGAGGACAAGCUCUGGGAUGCUGUCCUCCUGGGGUUUGCCAACAAGCAGGACCUCUCCAACGCCAUGAAUGCAGCAGGGACCACAGACAAGCUGGGGCUGCACUCCCUUUGUCACAUGAACUGGUACAUUCAGGCCACCUGUGCCACCAGUGGUGACGGGCUCUAUCAAGGACUGGGCUGGCUGUCUAGUCCGCUCUGGAACCAGAAGUGAAGGCGACACCCCUCCCUCUCACUCCUCUUGCCCUCUGCUUUACUCUCAUGGCAAACACGUGGCUCCGGUGUGAGUGCAGAAGCUGCCUCCGUGGUUCGGUCACCGUGUGCAUCACACCGUGCUGUAAGUGUGGCACAUGCAGCCUGCAGCCAGGCUUUUUAUUCAAUGUAAAUAGUUUCUGUUUCCAAUUAGGCAGUUUCUGUUACUCCUGUGCAA